UGGGGAAUUUGGACGAAUGGGCGAAAGCCUGAUCCAGCAAUGCCGCGUGUGUGAAGAAGGCCUUCGGGUUGUAAAGCACUUUUGUCCGGAAAGAAAUCCUUGGCUCUAAUACAGUCGGGGGAUGACGGUACCGGAAGAAUAAGCACCGGCUAACUACGUGCCAGCAGCCGCGGUAAUACGUAGGGUGCAAGCGUUAAUCGGAAUUACUGGGCGUAAAGCGUGCGCAGGCGGUUUGCUAAGACCGAUGUGAAAUCCCCGGGCUCAACCUGGGAACUGCAUUGGUGACUGGCAGGCUAGAGUAUGGCAGAGGGGGGUAGAAUUCCACGUGUAGCAGUGAAAUGCGUAGAGAUGUGGAGGAAUACCGAUGGCGAAGGCAGCCCCCUGGGCCAAUACUGACGCUCAUGCACGAAAGCGUGGGGAGCAAAACAGGAUUAGAUACCCUGGUAGUCCACGCCCUAAACGAUGUCAACUAGUUGUUGGGGAUUCAUUUCCUUAGUAACGUAGCUAACGCGUGAAGUUGACCGCCUGGGGAGUACGGUCGCAAGAUUAAAACUCAAAUGAAUUGACGGGGUCAUAGCUG
rnacentral:rRNA from 1 species